UUUUUUUUUAUUAUAGUUGAUUUACAAUAUUCUGUCAAUUUCUGCUGUACAGCAAAGUGACCCACUCAUAUAUACACACACACAUUUUCUUUUUCUCACAUUAUCCUCUGUCAUGGUUCAUCACAAGUGACUAGAUACAGUUCCCUGUGCUACACAGGAGGAUCUCACUGUUUAUCUACUCCCAAUGCAAUGUUUGCUCAUGUUCAUUGCUGUAUAGUAUUCCACUGCCUGUAUACAUCAUUAUUUAUUUAGACAAGCACUGAGCGAUAGUUUGGGGUUCAAAGUGUGGGGCUUUUACAAAGUGCAGCUGUCAAUAUUUUGACGGGGUGGGGGUGGGGUCACGCACAUAGCAUGUGGCACUUGCCAGGCCAGGGAUCAAACCACACCACAGCAAUGACCUGAGCCAUAGCAAUGGCAAUGCCAGAUCCUUAACCCGCUAAGCCACGAAGGGCUCCCAGCUGUGACUAUUCUUGUCGUAAGUACGCAUUUGUGUCGGAAGAGAAUCACUCCAUCACGGAGAGUGCAUGUGUUCACAGAGCGAGGCACAAGCGGACUGCGGUAGCCCCUUGCUUAAACCCUCCCUGGCUCCCCAGUGGCUUCAGCAUAAAGUCACAACUUCUGGAAUUUCAACGCACAUGGGCCCUGCCUGUUCUGGCGUAUUCUCUGUCUCCUUCCUUCCUCCACCUCAAACCCUGCUCUUGGACGGGCUCCUUUCCCACCUCGCUGAACCUCUGGUCCCUUCUUGGGACCUGCCGAGCCUUUUCUCUGCCAAGGACCCCCCCCCCCCAAUUUGACAGGCUGCAGCUUCCAACUGGCCAGUUCUUACUUGCUCUUUCUUGUUUUUUGGUUUUCAGGGCCACAUCCACAGCAUAUGGAGGUUCCUAGGCUAUGGGUCCCACUGGAGCUACAGCUGCCUGCCCACGCCACAGACAGAGCAGUGCAGGAUCUGAGCCUCGUCUGUGACCUCCACCACAGCUCACGGCAAGGCCGGAUCCUUAACCCACUGAGUGAGGCCAGGGAGCGAACCUGCAACCUCAUGGGUCCUAGUCGGAUUUGUUUCCACUGUGCAUGACGGGGACUCCCUUACCCAUUCUUUAUUUUGUAGGCCAAACAGAAUUUCCUCAAAAAGGCCUCUCCUGACCCCACUGUAAAAGAACAACCGUUGUCCCUGUCACCCAUUGCCCACUGUCCCUGUCACCCACUGCCCGCUGUCCCUGUCACCCAUUGCCCGCUGUCACCCAUUGCCCGCUGUCCCUGUCACCCAUUGCCCGCUACCGCCGUGCCCCGGAGACCAUGAGCAAAGGGACUGGCACUGCUGGCAUCCCCGCUGGAUCCCCCACACCAGGCACUGCACAGGGACACAGUAGGGGCUCAAUAAAUAACAAUACUCUUCUCUACGGAUCAGAUAAGAGAUGAUGCAAGGCCUUGAAGUCGCAGAGUCCGCUGCUCUUGUGCCUUGAGGCAACUUCCCUAAACUCCCUGGGCCUCCGCUUCCUACUCUGUGAAACAGGGAUAAUCCUGUGGCCUGGAAACACACACGCACACCACUGAGAAAGGGUCGGCCACGUGUCAGUGCCACUGCAGCAGUGGCUUCGGCGCUCCAGCUCUUUGGAGCCUUACCACAACCCGGGGGGCAGGCAGCCUUUCCUUAGCGAUGAGGAAACGGAGCAACUCAAGUCCCAGGGGGUUCAAUAGUCGGCCCAGUAAUUCUGGCUCCAAGUCCCGGCCUCCUCCGCGACAGGGCUGGCAGGGGUGGCAUGAGAAAGACAAUGAAAACAGAGAAGGGCCCAUGGUGAGCUCCAGACAGCCAAGAGCCCGACUCGCUCCUGUCCCUUUGACGGCCACUCAUCUCCACGAAGCCCAAAGGUUCCGAGCGCAGCAUGACAACCCCUGGGCUACACAAACACCCGUGGCUAUUAAUAGCUAGGAAGGAGAAAAUAGAAAGAUCCCAUUACAGAACAAUUUCAAACUUGUAUACAACAAACGACAUCACAAAUGAGGUCAAAAGACAAAUGAGAGUGUGGGAGAAAGGAUGGAGACCUCACAGAACAGAGGCUCGGCCUGGGGUGGACACGCUUCCGCAGAUAAACAGGAAACACACACACGACCCAGUGGGAAAACGGGCAGACUGGGGACCGUGCGCCAGGAGGAAAUGACCCACGGCGCGGAAGCGGGGAAACAAAAUUAAAUGACGAGCUCCCGAAGGUCUGCCGGUACUGGCAGAAAUGAAAACUACUGGGGACAUUCACGAGUGAUGAAGGCACAAGAAAACCAACCCUGAGACACGCCACGGGGCUGUGAAAAAAUUAGAGGCUUUUAGGAAACAUUCAGAAGUGAAAGAAGUGAAAGAAAGGAGAGAUGGUGCUACAGAUGGAUGACAGGUAAAACACGGACAGACACAAAAGCAGUCGCUAGAGGUUUCUUUUUGCAAUUGACAAGAACCUAGAAACACCCCGAGGCAUCACACAGUUGUGCGUUAACAGAGCUAAAAACGCCGAACUCCGAACGUGCCGACCUCCCAUUACUUCCAAACAUAUCAAGUAAAACAGAAUGUUAAGGAAUCAUUUCUUUGGUUUGAGCCUAUUUUCGUGGAAAACAAAAAUAGGCAUAACCAAAUCACCUUGAACAGUUCUUGAAGCAGAGAAGAAAGCCGGAAAAUCUGGAGUCCAGGUUGUGGUGCAGGGGAGACGAAGCCAACUAGGACCCAUGAGGAUGCAGGAUUGAUCCCCACCCAGCCUCGCUCAGCGGGCCGGGGAUCCAGUGUGGCCGUGAGCUGUGGCGGAGGCUGGCAGGUGCGGCUCCGAUUCCACCCGCUGGCCUGGAAACACCCAUAUGCAGUGGGCGUGGCCCUAAAAAGCAAAAAUAAAUAAUUUUAAAACAAGAAAGUAGGAGAAUCAAAUUUCUGAUUUGGAGGGAGUUUUGCUUCAUAUACAUCGUUUAAGUUUGAACGGUUGCCAUGGGCAUGUAUUUUAUUUAAAAAUUAAUGAAUAAGCCCUGCCCACUAAUCACGACUUAUAAGCGUGGCCUGCCUGUCUACUCUCUCAUGAACCCUGUCCUGCUUUUUUCGCACUGACUUUGCUUCAGUUUCUACAAGUAAGCCGCUGGCUGGAGAGAAGGGGUCAUUGGCCUCUGAACAACCUCCGCUGAGGAACCUCUUGGCUGCUCUGCUGCCCUGGUUUUCAGGGGGAGGAAACCGGUAUCGUUACUCUUCUAAGAAGAAAUGUAUGUUCUGAGCAUGCGAUACCACGUGUAGUGGAAAAUCCAAAGCGAACAGGAGCAGGUGGUGACAAGCGAGUCCCUGCCGCCCGGCUCUAGGCCAGUGUCCGGGUCCUUUCAGAGGUGGUCCCGGCAGACACUAGCACACGCGUGUGUAGAAUCUACUUUUUCUAGGAACACAAAUGCUGUAAAUGUCUUUAUACAUGGAAAAGUCUUUCUAAAGGAAGAUGCCUUUUGAUCUUUUGGAGCCAGAACCUGAUUAGUUCCAAGGUUGCACUUCUUUCCUGCUUGAGAAGCCACACCUCCCCCGCAGAGGCAGUGACUCCAUCAUUCGUCCGUCCACCAGUCUGUCUGUUGGUCCAGCCACCCAUCCAUCCACAUCCGCUAAUGAGUGUUUGGUGAGCACUCACUGUGGCCCGGACACUAGGCUACAGGCUGGAGAAAAAAGUGGUGAAAAGAGAAGCUCCUGUCGUGGCUCAGCGGUUAUCAAACCCGACUAGGAACCAUGAAGAUGAGAGUUCAAUCCCUGGCCUUGCUCCGUGGGUUAAGGAUCCGGCGAUGCCGUGAGCUGUGGUGUAGGUCGCAGACGCGGCUCAGAUCCUGUGUUGCUGUGGCUGUCGUGUAGGCCAGCAGGUGCAGCUCCAAUUUGAUCCUUAGCCUGGAACCCGCCACAUGCCUCGGGUGGCACCCCCACAAAAAAAAUGGUGAAAUGAUAAGGUCCUUGCUCUCAGCCAGCUGGCCUGCCGGGGACAUAACAAAUUGUGUAGAAGGAAACAAAUAAUAGAAGAAAAGGAACACAGUUCAGACCACAGGAAGGGCCCUGGGGAGAUUCGCUGUCAGUGGGGGGGCGGGCAGAGGAGGAGAGAGGGGAGAAAAGGGGGGCGCUGUUAUGGAUGGAGUGGCAGGAAGAUCUCCCUCAGGAGGUGACAUUUCGUCUAAGAACUGAAUGACAAGAAGGAGCAGAUGCUGCCGGGUUCCUGGCUCUGAUGACUUUCCAGCAAGCGCUUUCCCGGGCAGAGCUUCAGGCCGCGCUGAGCGGCGAAGGGGGCGGGGAGGCGCUCAUCUGACCCCACCUCGGCCACCGAAAGCCAGGGGGCCUUGGGGACGUGACUGAAGCUCUCCACGCCUCAGUUUCCUCACCUGGAAUAUGACGCCACUAAAAGCAGUAUCCGUCGAACAGCAUGCCACUGAAAAUUAAAUGGACAGAGCAAUGCGGGCUGCCCAGGCUGGCACGAAGAAAGGGAUCCCAAAAUAACCACGUUAAAAAGUUAUUAUUAUUCUUAUUAAUGUAUUUAUUUUUGGUCUUUUUGUCUUUUCUGAGGCCACACCCACGGCCUGUGGAGGUUCCCAGGCCGGGGUCCAAUCGGAGCUGUAGCCACCGGCCUUGACGAGAGCCACAGCAACACCGGAUCCGAGCCUCAUCUCCGACCUGCACCCCAGCUCAGGACAAGGCCGGAUCCUUAACCCAUGGAGCGAGAGAUAAACCUAUUUAUAAAACAGAAAGAGACUCACAGACAUGGAGAACAGACUUGUGGGUGUCAAGGGGGAGGGGGAGGAAGCGGGGGAGGGAACGGGGAGUUUGGGGUUCGCAGAGGCAAACAAUGACAUUUAGGAUGGAUAAGCAGUGAGGUCCUGCUGCACAGGGAACUCUACUCAGUCUCUUGGAACAGACCUUGACGGAAGACAAAGUCGGCAAAGGACACACAGACACACAGCCAUGACUCGGUCCCUCGGCCAUACAGCAGAC
rnacentral:lncRNA from 1 species